rnacentral:rRNA from 1 species
GAUGAACGCUAGCGGCAGGCCUAAUACAUGCAAGUCGAGGGGCAGCAGGGAUAGCAAUAUUCGCUGGCGACCGGCGCACGGGUGCGUAACACGUAUACAAUCUGCCUUUAACAGGGGGAUAGCCCGGAGAAAUCCGGAUUAAUACCCCAUAAUACUCGAGAUGGCAUCAUUUUGAGUUGAAAGCUCCGGCGGUUAGAGAUGAGUAUGCGACUGAUAGCUAGUUGGUGAGGUAACGGCUCACCAAGGCGACGAUCAGUAGGGGAUCUGAGAGGAUU